ACGGGUGAGUAAUACGUAGGAAUCUGCCUAAUGGAGUGGGAUAACCUAGGGAAACUUAGGGUAAUACCGCAUAAGCCUUACGAGGUAAAGCAGGGGAUCGCAAGACCUUGCGCUGUUAGAUGAGCCUACGUCGGAUUAGCUAGUUGGUGGGGUAAAGGCCUACCAAGGCGACGAUCCGUAGCUGGUCUGAGAGGACGACCAGCCACACUGGGACUGAGACACGGCCCAGACUCCUACGGGAGGCAGCAGUGGGGAAUAUUGGACAAUGGGCGGAAGCCUGAUCCAGCAAUGCCGCGUGUGUGAAGAAGGCCUGCGGGUUGUAAAGCACUUUCAGUGGGGAGGAGAGGCUCUUGGCUAAUACCCAAGGGAAGAGACGUUACCCACAGAAGAAGCACCGGCUAACUCUGUGCCAGCAGCCGCGGUAAUACAGAGGGUGCAAGCGUUAAUCGGAAUUACUGGGCGUAAAGGGUGCGUAGGUGGUUUGAUAAGUUGGGUGUGAAAGUCCUGGGCUCAACCUGGGGACUGCGCUCAAUACUGUUAAGCUAGAGUACUGUAGAGGAAGGUGGAAUUUCCAGUGUAGCGGUGA
rnacentral:rRNA from 1 species